rnacentral:pre_miRNA from 1 species
UAAAUACUCCCUCCGUCCAGAAAUACUUGUCAUCAAAAUGAAUAAAAGGGGAUGUAUCUAGAUGUAUUUUAGUUCUAGAUACAUCCUUUUUUGUCCAUUUUGAUGACAAGUAUUUUCAGACGGAGGGAGUAGUUG